AAGCCCCCUAGCCAGGGGCUGUAGGUAGUAGGCCUCCCCAGAGAGCAGACUAUUUCCUGGGAGAAACAUCUGGAAGAUUCUGGAAGCAAGCACACAUUUUCCAUUCACACACCACUCCACUCUGGGGCAGACAGGUGGCUCAUUUGGAGGACCUGUCACUAAGCGAAGCGCACUGAGCGGCUGCUCCCACAGUGAGCCAAGGGCCUGGUGAUGUUGCCUCUGCUUAUUGCUUUUCUGAAUCUACCUUCAACCUACCUGGCACUUGGCAUUCUCGAUCUCGGCGGUCAGCCUCUGUAUCAUUCUGUUCAGCUCGUUGAUCUCCUCCUUCGUGCGGCGCAGGGUCUCCCCAUGCCGGAUCACGGUGGCCUUCAUCUCCUCACACUGGUGGUUGGAGAUGGGGCACAGAUGUUUAUGAAGCACAGAAGAACAAUCACCCCCUUAGCAUAACACCAAUGAGUGUGUAGCUUGUACAACAGUUCCACAUAGCAGUGCUGGCUGGCCACCCCCUUAGCAUAACACCAAUGAGUGUGUAGCUUGUACAACAGUUCCACAUAGCAGUGCUGGCUGGCCGCCCCAACCUGAGAUCAGUCAGACAUUCUCUUACCACUCCUAAGGGAAAAGAAGCCUUUUCUAAUAGACACCUUGCAUG